UACAUCACACAAAGCAGCCACAACUGUCAGUAAGAGUGUCCAUGAUUGAGUCUUUGAAUGAAGAGAUUGAGACUGAACUGAAAAGACGAGCGACACAGUGAUGUGUAUGUGUAGCGGGUUUCUUAUGUACCACAGGAGAACCAAGAAAUGAAGAGCGACACCACGGCUGUCUUUUAGGAUUUUAUGUUGAUCUGCAAUAGUAUUGUGAAAAGACAGGACAGGAACACAUCAGUCUCCAAUGCACCAUCUGACAAGUUGUUCUACACAGGAGCAUGAAGAAAGGUAAAACACAUAUCCUGUCUCACAUCCCCAAUACAUUGCUAGGUGCUUUCAGUGUUGACAGUACCAAAAUACAACAACUCAUGUACAAAAACACUGCAACAAACAAGUUACAACGUGAAAUCGCCUCUAUUCCAUUCAGACCGUAGAGGACCAAACUACAUCUCCCAUAAUGCAACGCCAGCACCGAAAGAAUGCACAUUUCCAGAUAUCAUCAACAGUAAUACAAUUGAGGCACGGCAGAGGACAGGGAGAGCUCUGCAGUGUUGAUUUAUGAUAUUUGAAUGUGCAUUAGAUGGCAACAGGAUCAUAUUGUACAGCAAUUUCGUCAGGUAACAUGAAUACUAAGCCAGCGAGAUGUGGUUAGAAUAGGAUGGGGGGACAAAAGUCAGUGUAACUAAUAGUCAGAGUCCCAAGUGUGGGAACAGUCACUGUCCCACUUUAGAGUAAACAAGAAUGUUCAUAGUCAACAAAGCAUGCAGGAGUCAUGAGGCAAAAUGUACACACACAGUGCCUGUGUGCUGAAUGCAAGUGAAAGCUUGGUAGGGAGGGGGGAGUGUGGUAGGGGUACAUGUACCAGACAGGGGGAGAUAAGCCAGGGCAGACGGUGAACAGAUCGCCAGGUGGAAUCCAAGCAGCAGUGCAGUGGGAGCAGGUGUCACACCCACUUGGGACAAGCUUUAUUUCUGGAGGAGGCAUUUCCUUGCUGCUGCUAAAAGAUAAUCUAUCAAUUUAAGUAGAGAGGAUUGGAGUGUCUCUAACAGGAACAAUACCUAGGAGGAAAUUACAUGGAUCUGGUUGAAUAAUGCCUGUGAUGUCCUGUAUAACAUGAUUCACACUGCAAUGAGUUCCUAAGAUUAUUCAAAGAUAAUAUUUGCAUGUCCAUUGUAGGUUUUAGAAAAUAUUCAAAUAAAGGCUGUGUUUUGUGUAGGCUUACCCUGGCCUGGCAUUUUGAUAACCGUGUUAAUCUCUCCCAGACAAGGUGACUUUUAUUAAUAUAUUUGCCUGUAUUUAACCCCCAAAAUGACAUUUAACUGCUAUCAUAGAGAACUACAAAUGCUUGUCUCAAGCUUCACAUCCCUCACCAAGGGUCAUGGUCAUCUGGAUGAGACUGCCAAAUCAAGGCUCAGAACCAAUGGGUGUGCCUGAGGCUUACCACCUCUCAAUUAGAUGCAGACCCAAAGACAUUCAAGUCUCCAAUUGUCCCAGUAAGAGUUUAUGUACAGGCCUAAGUGACCAUAAACAAUGGACCUACAGCUGGGGUGAAAUUAUUCCAUCAUUCACACACAGUAGACCUGGUGUAAACGUGGUCAACAAAAUGUUGUCCGCAAUGCUUAAGUUGUAUUGUCUAUGGCUCAGUUUUUUGAAAUGCUGUGAUCACUAAGGAAUGACGUUGAGGGACACACGCUGAGACCCGAGUAUGACUGGACAGACAUUUGUGACAACGACCUAAAAGGGGUGCAAAAGCAUACCAGCACCCCAUUUUAUGUUUAUUCCAUGGCCAACCAUCCUCUAGCUACCCCUUAUUCCACAUCUAUGCCUUUUCUGCCUCAACUUCGAACACUUUGGAUCUAUCCAUCUUAACUCUAUAAACCCACCCUACCUUCACCCAUUUUCUCUAUGUUGCUUCCUACACUGUUUCUUCUCCUGAUGUGAUAACAUCUAGACUGAGUAACAUGUUUAAAAGUGUACUGUUUUUGCUACCUUUUUUCACCUGUGUAAUGCUGCCCUCCUGCUUAUUGUUGGGGUUCAGACUGAAUGCAGUGGUAAAUGUGCUGCUCACAAUUGACAGCAGCAACAUGGACCUUUUACAUUGACAGGAAUGGUGUAUAUAGCUGCGUUUAGGCAUGGCUUCCUGUUUUGAGUCUGGUAAGUGGGUUUCUCAUUCUGCUGGAGUUGAUCUAGUAUUUUAUGUAAAACCGACCGUACGCAUCCAGGUUUUCCAUUUGUAACUCGCCCACCAAAAACACAAUGUGCUAUUUUACGUUGUACUAUUUGUGCUGGUCUAACUACUCAAAUGGAAAAGCAGAAGAACCUUUGCACUCUCAGAUAGUUAUUUAAUGUCCCAGGUUUCCAGCAUUGAUGAAUAUAAUUUAGUGUUUACCUAAAUUCAAAUGUUUUAUAUGUUGUGUAUAAAAGGCAUAUGUAUGCAUUGUUUACUAUACUGAACAAAAAUAUAACGCAACGUAAAGUGUUGGUCCCAUGUUUCAUGAGCUG